rnacentral:rRNA from 1 species
UACAGAGGUGGCAAGCGUUGUUCGGAAUUACUGGGCGUAAAGGGCGCGUAGGUGGCCUUUUGAGUCAGACGUGAAAUCCCCCGGCUUAACCUGGGAACUGCGUCUGAUACUGGGAGGCUUGAGUUCGGGAGAGGGAUGUGGAAUUCCAGGUGUAGCGGUGAAAUGCGUAGAUAUCUGGAGGAACACCGGUGGCGAAGGCGGCAUCCUGGACCGAAACUGACACUGAUGCGCGAAAGCCAGGGGAGCAAACGGG